AUGGACAUCACAUGCCUUGAAGAGACGCUAAAGAGUUUCCUGGAGAAACACAAGUAUUUGAUCAUAUUGGAUGAUAUUUGGACUCCAGAGGCAUUUGAUGACUUGUCUAGAGUACUUAUACAUAAUAAUAAAGGAAGUGGACUCAUAAUCACAACAAGGGAAUGCGAUGUUGCUUCACUUGCCACUCAGGGGCACAUCUUAAAGCUUAAAGCUUUGCUAGAAGACAAGGCAUGGGAUCUGUUUUGUAGGAAAGCCUUUCCAAGUGAUACAAAUCAUGCAUGUCCUAUGGAGUUGAAGCCUUUGUCCAGGGAACUAGCUAACAAGUGCAAAGGUUUGCCUCUUGUUAUUGUGUUAGUUGGUAGCCUCUUGCGUGUCCGUGACACAACUAUGGAAGAAUGGAGAAGAGUGCAUGACCAGUUGAGUUGGGAGGUAAAUAAUAAUUCGAGGCUGGAUCACAUACGGAAUGUGUUUCAUCUAAGCUUUAUCUACCUGCCAACACACUUGAAAAGUUGUUUCCUGUACUGCAGCCUAUUUCCAGAAGACUAUGUUUUCAAAAGGAAACAACUUGUACGGCUAUGGACGGCGGAGGGGUUCAUUGAGGAGAGGGGUGAAAGCACAUUAGAAGAAGUUGCAGAAGGUAAUCUAAAGGAGUUGGUCAACAGAAACAUGCUACAACUUGUGGAGAGGAACUCUUUUGGUAGGAUGAAAGGAUUCAGAAUGCAUGACAUCUUGCGUGAAUUGGCAGUUGACUUGUGUCAAAAGACCUGUUUUGGUGUUAUAUACAAGGAUAGGUGUGGUGGUCCUUUUGACACUGUUGGACGUCGAUUGGUACUGCACAAACUAAACAAGGAUAUUCAACGGUCAUUUUCUAGUGUAAAUCGACAUCGAACUGUCAUUGUACUGGAACAUAGCAUGCCAUCAUUCAAUCUUCUACCUCUUCUAUGUAAGGAAGCUAGAUAUAUGGCAGUCCUAGAAUUAAGUGGUCUACCCAUCAAGAAGAUUCCAGAUGCUAUUGGUGAUCUUUUUAAUCUGUGUCAUUUGGGUCUGCGUGAUACAAAAGUGAAGACGCUCCCCAAGUCUGUUGUGAAGCUUUCAAAUUUGUUGACACUGGACCUUCAUGGGUCUGACAUACAAGAGUUACCUAGUGGGAUUGGGAAACUCAAGAAGCUUAGGCACCUAUUUGCUGAGAGACCAAUUGAUCCAUCUUGGAGGGAAUUUAAGUGUCGCAGUGGUAUGUGUAUCCCCAAUGGUCUUGGAAAUCUAACAAACCUUCAGACGCUACAAGCAUUGGAAAUAGAUGAUAAGUCGCUUAGAGAUUUAGGAGAUCUGACACAACUUAGAAGCUUGAGGUUAUGGAAUGUGAAGGGAAUCUAUUGUGCACGCAUCGCUGAGUCUUUAGUUCAGAUGCGGUAUUUGUCCUUAUUAGAUGUGAGUGCAAGUGAUGAGAAUGAGGUUCUCUUGUUGAAUGUCUACCUGCCGAACCUGCAAAGGAUAUUUUUGAGAGGAAGACUAGCGGAAGGGGCAUUGGAUGAGUCUCCUCCCUUCCAGUCCACUGAUGGGCAGAACUUGUAUACGUUGUCUCUAUAUUGGUCACAGCUGAGAGAAGACCCCCUGCCAUCUCUCUCUCGGUUGUCAAAUUUGACGGAAAUAAAUUUUACUAGAGCAUACCAUGGAAAGUAUCUCGCAUUUCUCACGGGGUGGUUUCCCAAUCUGAAGGUUCUUCUGUUGAGAGACCUGCCUAAUCUGAAUCAGCUAGAGAUACAACAAGGUUCCAUGGCGAACCUGGAAUGCUUAGUAUUAAUCAACCUUAGCAGCAUGACUGAGGUCCCACCUGGCAUUGCGUUUCUCAUGCCCCUCCAACGUCUAGCCUUCUACGAAAUCACCAGUGAUUUCUUGACAUUGCUGCACCAAUGCCACCGCCUGGCCGGCUGGAAGGGAGAUGCUUCACAAUUUGAACGCAUGCAGAUUCGAUUCGUCAAUACAUCUCAAGAUGCAUAUCCAGUGCUAUCAUACAUUCGUGCUGCAGCUGAUCUGCUACAUACGUUCUGGGGUUUCAUCUGCUUUAUCAAGAUGUACUACUGCACCUGCCGUUUGUUGCUGGUUCCACCUCCACUACGGAGCUCUUCCCUUAUGCUAGCUGCUACUACUGCUGUGCCUAUGCUUGUCAAGUAUAACAAUAUUGCCUAUUAA
rnacentral:rRNA from 1 species